rnacentral:rRNA from 1 species
UACGGAGGGGGCAAGCGUUGUUCGGAAUUACUGGGCGUAAAGGGCGCGCGGCGGCUGCUCAAGUCAGGCGUGAAAGGCCUGGCUCAACCCGGGAAUUGCGCUUGAGACUGGGCUGGCUUGAGUGCGGGAGAGGAUGGUGGGAAUUCCCAGUGUAGAGGUGAAAAUUCGUGAGAUAUUGGGGAAAGACACCGGGUGGGCCGAAGGCGGCCAUCGUGGGACCCGCAACUGGCAACGCCGUGAGGCGGCGGAAAAGCCAGUGGGGAGCCAAACAGGGGAGUUAAGAAAACCCGAUAGUAACUUCCCGAGGCAACCCAAACGUCUCCUGCGUUAACCCCGUAAAUCC